rnacentral:tRNA from 1 species
UGUCCAGGGGCGGGAAUCGAACCCACAACCUUCUGCUUACCGGGCAGGUGCCAUGUCCACUAGGCUACGCUGGAC